UACGUAGGGUGCAAGCGUUGUCCGGAAUUAUUGGGCGUAAAGAGCUCGUAGGCGGUCUGUCGCGUCUGCUGUGAAAACUCAGGGCUUAACCCUGAGCUUGCAGUGGGUACGGGCAGACUAGAGUGCGGUAGGGGAGACUGGAAUUCCUGGUGUAGCGGUGAAAUGCGCAGAUAUCAGGAGGAACACCGGUGGCGAAGGCGGCUUUCUGGACGACAACUGACGCUGAGACGCGAAAGCGUGGGGAGCAAACAGG
rnacentral:rRNA from 1 species